CACAUUUUUUGUGUGUUUGCUUGUUAUCUUAUCUUUGAAGUCCUCUGGGAGACCGUGAUCUGCCUUCAACUGACAUGAACACAGUCUGACUACAAAUCAUUGUUUGAGGAAGUGAUUGUGUGACUUUUUACCUCCAAGAUAACAGUUAAAGAGCCUGUCCAGGUCUCUCAAAUUAAAUGCAUAGCUACUCAGUGCAUAAAGCUUUCAUUAGCAUGGCUGCCAAAGGUACCAGGUCAGAGCUCAGCCCUCCAUCUUUGAUGGCCCCAGUUCAGUCAGUGCUCUCAGAUCUCACUCUUUUCCUAACACCCUCCCUGGGUUUCAGAAAACACUUAUUUUGCAGCUCUUUGAGAGCAAACUAGGAGUGUGGGUUUUCCCUAAUUUCUUUUUUCAUGGGGCUAUCUGUUUUCUCACACAUAAUUACUCCCCCUGUUCUUUUUAAGGUUCUGCUGCCAGAAACUGGAAACGACUCCAUGCUUCAAGUGGAAAAUCACAGAUGCCGUUACACACUGUGGCUGUGUGAAGAAGGCAAACAUAACAGGCUAUGUGUAGUGACUCUCCACAAUCUACAAGUGAUUCCCUCUAUUUCCCAGAAGGUGUUCCAGAGCUGGAGCCAAUUCAGCUGCCAAGACGCUGCCUUUCUCACCUGCUGAUUGCAAUUAGCCACUGCCAGCUGGGACCUGGUGUGCCACUGAAGAGCUAACAAGAAGCAGAGACCAGCAUGAUGCCUUGACAGCACAUACACAGUGAAUAAAUAAGAAAUGCUGCGCUGUAUUCCUGAAGUU
rnacentral:lncRNA from 1 species